AGAGUUUGAUCAUGGCUCAGAACGAACGCUGGCGGCGUGCUUAACACAUGCAAGUCGCGUGCGCAGUCCGUAGCAAUACGGAUGGGCGCACGGCGCACGGGUGCGUAACACGUGGGCAAUCUGCCCUCUGAUGGGGAAUAACCCGCCGAAAGGCGGGCUAAUUCCGCAUAAGAUUCCCGGGGCUUCGGUCCUGGGAUUGAAAGCAGUAAUGCGUCGGAGGAGGAGCCCGCGCCCGAUUAGCUAGUUGGUGAGGUAAUGGCUCACCAAGGCAAUGAUCGGUAGCUGGUCUGAGAGGAUGAUCAGCCACACUGGAACUGAGACACGGUCCAGACUCCUACGGGAGGCAGCAGUGGGGAAUCUUGCACAAUGGGCGAAAGCCUGAUGCAGCGACGCCGCGUGGGGGAUGAAGCAUUUCGGUGUGUAAACCCCUUUCGACUGGGAAGAAUACCUCGCAAGAGGGGUGACGGUACCAGUAGAAGAAGCCCCGGCUAACUACGUGCCAGCAGCCGCGGUAAGACGUAGGGGGCCAGCGUUGUUCGGAAUUACUGGGUGUAAAGGGUUCGUAGGCGGUGCGGCAAGUUGGGAGUGAAAUCUCUGGGCUUAACCCAGAGGCUGCUUCCAAAACUGCUGUGCUCGAGUGUGAGAGAGGCUCGUGGAAUUGCAGGUGUAGCGGUGAAAUGCGUAGAUAUCUGCAGGAACACCCGUGGCGAAAGCGGCGAGCUGGAUCACUACUGACGCUGAGGAACGAAAGCUAGGGGAGCAAACAGGAUUAGAUACCCUAGUAGUCC
rnacentral:rRNA from 1 species